rnacentral:lncRNA from 10 species
CAUCAACAACAGCAACUUGUGAUUGGCGGUGACCGGAUAUUCAGUUGCACAUCCCCACAUCAAUGCACUGCCAAUGAUGAGGAAACUGAGGCCUUGGACUAGAACAGAGGUCUCCUGACUCAGUCCAGGACUCUUUCUAUUACAUCAUGCGGCCUGAUAUUUGUCUUUAUGGAACUCAGCAACAUCACAUACAGGGUGAGCUUUUUUUUUUUUUUUUAAAUGAACACAUAAAGUGAUUUGCUACCCUCAUUAGUUACUAGUCCUCAUUCUUGUCUAACUCUUAUUUUCCUUUUCUACCCAUAUUUAUUUUAAUUGAUUAUAUAGACCCAAUUACUUGUGACACUUUUUUAUUUUACUGCUACCUCUUCUUGACGUUUGACUAUUAUUUUUAAGAGUUAAACUUUCAGAGGAUUUCUUACCAAUGAUGACUGCCACUUUAUCACGCACUGUAGCAACAGUCGAUUAAAAUUUAUAACAGGAAUUAUUUGUAGAGUGUUACAUUUAGAUUAAAAAAAUUACAAAUAAGUCCAAGAGUGUGGAUAAGAUCUAAGCAGCUAUAAUACUAGAU